UAUUGUGAAAGAGCCUGGUGUGGAA
rnacentral:piRNA from 1 species